rnacentral:rRNA from 1 species
CAGCAGCCGCGGUAAUACGUAGGGUGCGAGCGUUAAUCGGAUUUACUGGGCGUAAAGCGUGCGCAGGCGGCCCGUUAAGACAGGUGUGAAAUCCCUAGGCUCAACCUAGGAAUUGCGCUUGUGACUGGCGGGCUCGAGUACGGUAGAGGGGGGUGGAAUUCCUGGUGUAGCAGUGAAAUGCGUAGAGAUCAGGAGGAACACCGAUGGCGAAGGCAGCCCCCUGGGCCUGUACUGACGCUCAUGCACGAAAGCGUGGGGAGCAAACAGGAUUAGAUACCCUGGUAGUCCACGCCCUAAACGAUGGGUACUAGCCGUUUGGUGCGCGAUAGCGCUGAGUGGCGAAGCUAACGCGUGAAGUACCCCGCCUGGGGAGUACGGCCGCAAGGUUGAAACUUAAAGGAAUUGGCGGG